UACGUAGGGGGCAAGCGUUGUCCGGAAUUAUUGGGCGUAAAGAGCGUGUAGGCGGUCCGGUAAGUCAGCUGUGAAAGUCAAGGGCUCAACCCUUGAAAGCCGGUUGAUACUGUCGGGCUAGAGUCCGGAAGAGGCGAGUGGAAUUCCCGGUGUAGCGGUGAAAUGCGCAGAUAUCGGGAGGAACACCAAUGGCGAAGGCAGCUCGCUGGGACGGUACUGACGCUGAGACGGCGAAAGCGUGGGGAGCGAACAGG
rnacentral:rRNA from 1 species